rnacentral:rRNA from 1 species
AGUGAACGCUGGCGGUAGGCCUAACACAUGCAAGUCGAACGGCGGCACAGUAAGAGCUUGCUCUUACGGGUGGCGAGUGGCGAACGGGUGAGGAAUACAUCGGAAUCUACUUUUUCGUGGGGGAUAACGUAGGGAAACUUACGCUAAUACCGCAUACGACCUACGGGUGAAAGCAGGGGAUCUUCGGACCUUGCGCGAUUGAAUGAGCCGAUGUCGGAUUAGCUAGUUGGCGGGGUAAAGGCCCACCAAGGCGACGAUCCGUAGCUGGUCUGAGAGGAUGAUCAGCCACACUGGAACUGAGACACGGUCCAGACUCCUACGGGAGGCAGCAGUGGGGAAUAUUGGACAAUGGGCGCAAGCCUGAUCCAGCCAUACCGCGUGGGUGAAGAAGGCCUUCGGGUUGUAAAGCCCUUUUGUUGGGAAAGAAAAGCAGCAGGUUAAUACCCCGCUGUUCUGACGGUACCCAAAGAAUAAGCACCGGCUAACUUCGUG